rnacentral:rRNA from 1 species
UACGGAGGGUGCGAGCGUUGUCCGGAAUCACUGGGCGUAAAGGGCGCGUAGGCGGCCGAUCAAGUCGGGGGUGAAAGCCUGUGGCUCAACCACAGAAUUGCCUUCGAUACUGUUUGGCUUGAGACCGGAAGAGGUUAGUGGAACUGCGAGUGUAGAGGUGAAAUUCGUAGAUAUUCGCAAGAACACCAGUGGCGAAGGCGGCUGACUGGUCCGGUUCUGACGCUGAGGCGCGAAAGCGUGGGGAGCAAACAGG